CAUUAACAUGCAACUGUAAGAAGGUUAACAAAAUCACAACAAAGAUUAUUCUGUGUCCUCUCUUUUGGGCAUAAGCCACAGAGUAACAAGGUCAAAUUAAAGAAUCACAGAAUUGUCGGAAAGCUCCUCAAUUUUUCAAUUCAAAUUUAUGAAAGUGAAGAGACAAGGAGCCAUUCUUAAUUUCCCCAGUAAAUGUUACAGACAAAACAAUGGUGCAACUAAACAAAUGGAUGAACCGUAUUGCACAUGCCUGGGUUCCUAAUGCACCAGAGUGGCUGAAGCGGGUCAGCAUGAAUUCCUCUNGUAUCUCCACUCAUUUAAACGAUCCAUUGCCCCAGCAUACCUCUUCAUGCCUGUUUCAUCCCUAUUUCCUGACCACAAAGUCUCUGCCAUUGCUGAAGCUCUAGGCCAAAUCCUUGCAUCCAGAACUGUUGGAUCCGCUUGCUCUGACCAUAAUGCUACCUCCCCACCAAGCACCAAUUUAGACUCUUCCUGGCUCAAUCCGUACGUUAUGUCAUAAUUAUAUAUGGUUUGCCAUGUUUUAAAAGGUCCACACCAUGAUCCCCCAUUCCCAGCACUACCACCUGUUGGUGGCUGAUCAUAUUGGCUGUCAUUCCCAAGAAAGUCGCCAUGCCCACAAUCCAAAUAAUAGAAUUCAGAGGAUGACACAAUAGCCCGGUAACCAGCAGAAACAAUCAGUUUUGUAUUGUUUGGACCAUUGUUCCAUGUUUGUAGGAUAGUAUGCUCAGGCGGAAGAAUUGAGGCAUUCACCUUAACAUUGUCAUCCAACAAGAUAUCCUCCCAGUAUACCACAGUGCGAUUAAGUGAUACAAUAUAAGGGAAGGUUGAAUUGACAAAGUUCUCUAAUAGCUGACUGAGAGUUCCAUUAUCAGAUAGGAAAGACUGAAUGGCUGGGUCAGCUUUCCAACAACCUGGGAUGAUCUCAUCAGCUCCAGCGUGGUAAAAUGGUUCAGGGAAUAAGGUGACUGUGUCAGCAAUUACAUUUUUGAGGACUUCAUAUGUCUUGGGGUUCAGUGGGUUUAGAUGGCCAGCUCCUGGUUCGGAUGCAAGCCGGUCAGCCCAUUCACUACCAGCUGGCCACCAGAACAUGUUUGCGCACGUCACAAUAUUUGGGUAUGCUCCAGCCCAUGAUCCUGUAUGUCCGGGAGAGUCGAUUUCUGGUAGAACCCUAACCCCGUGUUCCAAACCAAACCGAACAAUGGCUGCAACAUCCGCCGGGGAGUACUGCAUGCGUGGCCCAUAAGAACCCUUGGCUGCAAGUUCAGGCACAGACGGUAGCACCAAAGGAAACGAAUGGGAAUCCGUAAUGUGCCAGUGGAACACAUUGAGCUUAUUAGCACUCAUGGCCCCAAUGGUUCGUAAUAAAUCCUCUACCUCAUAGUAAUUCCUGGAGGUAUCCAGCAUAACCCCUCUGUGAGCGAAGAGCGGAAAGUCCCAUAUGUAGAGUCCCACCGGCACGCGCGAAGGGUCGCCCCACACCAGUUGGGAGAACGUCUCCAGACCCCUCAUUGCCCCCCACACCGUCUCAGCCGUCAAAUUGGCGG
rnacentral:misc_RNA from 1 species